AAGACUAUACUUUCAGGGAUCAUCUGUAUAAUUCAGUGCUAGAGAAGUUCC
rnacentral:snRNA from 1 species